ensembl:snRNA U6 U6 spliceosomal RNA
GUGCUCAUUUUGGCAGCACGUACUCUGAGAGUGGAAUGAUACAGAGAAGAUUAGCAUGGCCCCUGUGCAAGGAUGGCACACACAUUUCUGAAGUGUUCCAUAUUUUU